rnacentral:rRNA from 1 species
GACGAACGCUGGCGGCGUGCUUAACACAUGCAAGUCGAACGGAAAGGCCUGCUUUUGUGGGGUGCUCGAGUGGCGAACGGGUGAGUAACGCGUGAGUAACCUGCCCUUGACUUUGGGAUAACUUCAGGAAACUGGGGCUAAUACCGGAUAGGAGCUCCUGCUGCAUGGUGGGGGUUGGAAAGUUUCGGCGGUUGGGGAUGGACUCGCGGCUUAUCAGCUUGUUGGUGGGGUAGUGGCUUACCAAGGCUUUGACGGGUAGCCGGCCUGAGAGGGUGACCGGCCACAUUGGGACUGAGAUACGGCCCAGACUCCUACGGGAGGCAGCAGUGGGGAAUAUUGCACAAUGGGCGGAAGCCUGAUGCAGCAACGCCGCGUGCGGGAUGACGGCCUUCGGGUUGUAAACCGCUUUCGCCUGUGACGAAGCGUGAGUGACGGUAAUGGGUAAAGAAGCACCGGCUAACUACGUG